rnacentral:rRNA from 1 species
AGCGAACGCUGGCGGCAGGCCUAACACAUGCAAGUCGAGCGGGGUUUUCGGACCUAGCGGCGGACGGGUGAGUAAUGCGUAGGAAGCUACCCGAUAGAGGGGGAUACCAGUUGGAAACGGCUGUUAAUACCGCAUAAUGUCUACGGACCAAAGUGUGGGACCUUCGGGCCACAUGCUAUCGGAUGCGCCUACGUGGGAUUAGCUAGUUGGUGAGGUAAUGGCUCACCAAGGCGACGAUCCCUAGCUGGUUUGAGAGGAUGAUCAGCCACACUGGAACUGAGACACGGUCCAGACUCCUACGGGAGGCAGCAGUGGGGAAUAUUGGACAAUGGGCGCAAGCCUGAUCCAGCCAUGCCGCGUGUGUGAAGAAGGCCUUCGGGUUGUAAAGCACUUUCAGUAGGGAGGAAGGGUUAAGUGUUAAUAGUACUUAACUUUGACGUUACCUACAGAAGAAGCACCGGCUAACUCUGUGCCAGCAGCCGCCGUAACAC